rnacentral:rRNA from 1 species
UACAGAGGGUGCGAGCGUUAAUCGGAAUUACUGGGCGUAAAGGGCUCGUAGGUGGCCAACUAAGUCAGACGUGAAAUCCCUCAGCUUAACUGGGGAACUGCGUCUGAUACUGGAUGGCUUGAGUUUGGGAGAGGGAUGCGGAAUUCCAGGUGUAGCGGUGAAAUGCGUAGAUAUCUGGAGGAACACCGGUGGUGUAGACGGCUCUCUGGACCGUAACUGACGCUGAGGCACGAAAGCGUGGGGAGCAAACAGG